rnacentral:rRNA from 1 species
GUGUCAGCCGCCGCGGUAAGACAGAGGCCCCGAGCGUUAAUCGGAAUUACUGGGCUUAAAGGGUGCGUAGGCUGAUCCGAAAGUGCUCCGUGAAAUCCCCCGGCUCAACCGGGGAACAGCGAGGCAUACUGCGGAUCUUGAGGCAGGUAGGCGCCGAGGGAACAGUAGGUGGAGCGGUGAAAUGCGUAGAUAUCUACUGGAACACCGAUGGCGAAGGCAGCCCCCUGGGUCAAGAUUGACGCUCAUGCACGAAAGCGUGGGGAGCAAACAGGAUUAGAUACCCUGGUAGUCCACGCCCUAAACGAUGGAUACUCGACAUACGCGAUACACAGUGUGUGUCUGAGCGAAAGCAUUAAGUAUCCCACCUGGGAAGUACGACCGCAAGGUUGAA